rnacentral:rRNA from 1 species
GAGGGAGCUGCCUAAGGCAAAACCAAUGACUGGGGUGAAGUCGUAACAAGGUAGCCGUAUCGGAAGGUGCGGCUGGAUCACCUCCUUUCUAAGGAA